rnacentral:rRNA from 1 species
UGCGUAGGUGGCGCUGUAAGUCAGGUGUGAAAUUUCGGAGCUUAACUCCGAAACUGCAUUUGAUACUGCGGUGCUUAAGGACUGGAGAGGAGACUGGAAUUCACGGUGUAGCAGUGAAAUGCGUAGAGAUCGUGAGGAAGACCAGUGGCGAAGGCGGGUCUCUGGACAGUUCCUGACACUGAGGCACGAAGGCCAGGGGAGCAAACG